rnacentral:rRNA from 1 species
CCUACGGGAGACAGCAGUGAGGAAUAUUGGUCAAUGGACGAGAGUCUGAACCAGCCAAGUAGCGUGAAGGAUGACUGCCCUAUGGGUUGUAAACUUCUUUUAUAUGGGAAUAAAAUGUUCCACGUGUGGGAUUUUGUAUGUACCAUAUGAAUAAGGAUCGGCUAACUCCGUGCCAGCAGCCGCGGUAAUACGGAGGAUCCGAGCGUUAUCCGGAUUGAUUGGGUUUAAAGGGAGCGUAGGUGGAUUGUUAAGUCAGUUGUGAAAGUUUGCGGCUCAACCGUAAAAUUGCAGUUGAAACUGGCAGUCUUGAGUACAGUAGAGGUGGGCGGAAUUCGUGGUGUAGCGGUGAAAUGCUUAGAUAUCACGAAGAACUCCGAUUGCGAAGGCAGCUCACUGGACUGCAACUGACACUGAGGUUCGAAAGUGUGGGUAUCAAACAGGAUUAGAUACCCGGGUAGUC